rnacentral:rRNA from 1 species
AGAGUUUGAUCCUGGCUCAGAACGAACGCUGGCGGCGUGCCUAACACAUGCAAGUCGAACGAGGUCCUUCGGGACCUAGUGGCGCACGGGUGAGUAAUGCAUGGGUCAUCUGCCCUGAAGUGGGGGAUAACUUCGGGAAACCGAAGCUAAUACCGCAUGUGUACGCAAGUACAAAGGAGGGGAUCGCAAGACCUUCCGCUUUAGGAUGAGCUCAUGUCCCAUUAGCUUGUUGGUGAGGUAACGGCUCACCAAGGCGAAGAUGGGUAACUGGUCUGAGAGGACGAUCAGUCACACUGGAACUGAGACACGGUCCAGACUCCUACGGGAGGCAGCAGUGGGGAAUAUUGCACAAUGGGCGAAAGCCUGAUGCAGCAACGCCGCGUGGGUGAUGAAGGCCUUUGGGUUGUAAAGCCCUUUUCGGCUGGGAAAUAGGGCAGUCUGGCUAAUACCCAGGCUGUUUGAUGGUACCAGAAGAAGAAGCACCGGCUAACUUCGUGCCAGCAGCCGCGGUAAUACGAAGGGUGCAAGCGUUGUUCGGAAUGACUGGGCGUAAAGGGUUCGUAGGCGGGAAUGUAAGUUAAGUGUGAAAUCCCUGGGCUCAACCCAGGACGUGCACUUAAAACUGUGUUUCUUGAGUACUGGAGGGGGUUGUGGAAUUGCUGGUGUAGGAGUGACAUCCGUAGAGAUCAGCAGGAACACCGGAGGCGAAGGCGACAACCUGGACAGAUACUGACGCUGAUGAACGAAAGCGUGGGGAGCAAACAGGAUUAGAUACCCUGGUAGUCCACGCCGUAAACGAUGAUGACUAGACGUCGGUGGUAUUGACCCCGUCGGUGUCGCAGCUCACGCAAUAAGUCAUCCGCCUGGGGAGUACGGCCGCAAGGCUAAAACUCAAAGGAAUUGACGGGGGCCCGCACAAGCGGUGGAGUAUGUGGUUUAAUUCGAAGCAACGCGCAGAACCUUACCUGGGCUUGACAUCCUCGGACGCUGGUAGAGAUAUCAGUUCCCCGCAAGGGGCCGAGUGACAGGUGCUGCAUGGCUGUCGUCAGCUCGUGUCGUGAGAUGUUGGGUUAAGUCCCGCAACGAGCGCAACCCUUAUCCUUAGUUGCCACCAUUUAGUUGGGGACUCUAAGGAGACUGCCGGUGAUAAACCGGAGGAAGGUGGGGAUGACGUCAAGUCCUCAUGGCCCUUACGUCCAGGGCUACACACGUACUACAAUGGCCAAGACAAACCGAUGCAAGACGGCGACGUCAAGCGAAUCGGAAAAACAUGGUCUCAGUCCGGAUUGCAGUCUGCAACUCGACUGCAUGAAGUUGGAAUCGCUAGUAAUCGCGGAUCAGCAAGCCGCGGUGAAUACGUUCCCGGGCCUUGUACACACCGCCCGUCAAACCACGAAAGUUGUUCAGACCAGAAGCAGCCGAGCUAACUUCGGAGGCAAGCUGCCAAGGUCUGAGCGAUGAUUGGGGUUAAGUCGUAACAAGGUA